rnacentral:misc_RNA from 1 species
GAUGAAAAACGCAGCGAAAUGCGAUAAGUAGUGUGAAUUGCAGAAUUUAGUGAAUCAUCGAAUCUUUGAACGCACAUUGCGCCCUAUAGUAUUCUGUAGGGCAUGCCUGUUCGAGCGUUAUUGAGACCUCAAGCUCUGCUUGGAAAUGGGCGCUUGUCUUGCCUUGCAGACUCGCCUUAAAACCAUUGGCAGCUGAUUUACAAUGUUUGGUGCACAGUACAUGAGCCCAAGUGUUGCAAUGAGUGGCCCAAAAGUAUACAAUAGAAGCUUAACCUCGGAUCAGGUAGGGAUACCCGCUGAACUUAAGCAUAUCAAUAAGCGGAGGA